GCCGCCAUAGCUCAGUCCGUUAGAGGGUGGGUCGAAUAAGCCCAAGGUCGCAGGUUCGACCCCUGCUGGCGGUA
rnacentral:tRNA from 1 species